GCCACUGCACUACAGACUACUCUGGAGUGCCUGGUGUCACAAACCAUUCCUUUCAUGAGGAAAAUUCUUCCAAUAACACCUAAGUCCCCCACUAAGAACAGGUAGAAAGGCAAAUUUUUUCUCAUGGCCACCUAAGGAGAACUGUUUCAGUCAACUUCAGGUUCCUGAUGCUGGACCAGUGGCUGGGUGAGGGAGGAUUGGACAAGCACGUUCAGAAGUCUGCUGGCUGCUUUUCAAGUGUCAUCAUCCUCUGCUCCCAGUUUGUGCUGGCUGCACACUCUGAGGGCAACAGUUAUGAAAUAUCCCUGGGAGUCGCAAGCUGGAAUAGCCACUAAUGGAUGAGAGAUGCAGGGCUCCCUGCCCAGUGGAUGGGACCCCUGGGCUGCCCUGCGGCAGUGGAGGUGAGCCAAUGCAGAGCUGCAUCCUCCAAGAGAAUGUGCUGUGACAACACCACCAAAACCACCACCCUGCAGCCGGAAAAAACAUCUUUUCAUCUGGAGAAUCAAGAAACAGAGGGAUAGAAGCAUUUCUAAGGAAGGGAGCCUGCCUGGAAACACCAAGACAGCAGGGGAAGUAGGAGGAACUCACCUUCAACCAUCCUGCUCUCCCUGAGAUUUACUCCUUGUCUUGAAACCUCACAGAAGAGCGGGAGAAGAAAAGAUUCAGGAAAAGUGCUUUUGGUCAAAGAAAUUAAAGAAAUCAAAGCCAACAAGGCACAGGAGAUAAUCCGAGUGUGUGAGGGAGUGAGAAGGGACUCAGGACUCAAUGCUCACCUCAGCCACCACUUUGAUUGCAUGGCCAUGAUGGAGACCCUGCUCCAGAGCACAGCCCAGGGGACACACAACCAUGAGUAACAGGUUGGUUUCUGUGCCACAGGGAAGGGCUGCUCUACACCCUGGUGAGUGGGACCAGCUCCAUUGACAGGCCCUGCAGGUCUGUUGAGGGUGCAACAUUUGAAAGAAUCCAGAUCCCUGCUGACUUCAAAUGUUACUUUGCAGCUCUUAAAAUCCCUUUCUCUCAUGAGCCUAUUGAUCUUUAAGAGUGACAGACCCCUGAAAACUUUCAUCCCCUCUCUGCUGUGUUCCUUCCCAACCCUCCCGUGCUCCGUGGCUCCCCAUGGGCUCAGCACAUCACUGCUGUCUGAGCAGAGUCAGGCAGGUCAGAAAACCAAAAGCAGGGUAAAUCUUUCCAGUCCUUCCUUCAGGAAAGCUGUGCCCACAGUGGAAUGGCAGGGAAAGCAGUGUCCAGCCAGAAGAAGGCUCUUGUUCCUAAUUGGCCAAAUUCAGAGUUAUUUAUCGGGCAAAGAGUUUCCAUCUCUCUCAGAAACUUCAAAAUUAGUCUGUCAGGUUGAAUCCCAUCAUCACUUAAACUCAGAAGACUGCAACAUUUGUGGUGUUUUCUUAGCUCUGAGUUCUGACACAAGAGCUCUUCCUCUCCUCCAGAUUCUCCAAGCAAAACCCAAUGUACUUUUGUUGCUCUACUCACACUAAUCACAACAAAGGUUACAAGCUCAAUUAGUCUGGGGGUUUUUUUGCUGUUGUUGUUUCACUGAAAGAUGGUGUUUUCUUCCUUGAUCUCUUUUAGAUUCCAUUUAAAAUGUGUUCUGUCACCCUGAGCACUCUAUUAAUAUCCCUGCCAUAAACAUCCACAACACAGUGUAUUUUCUCCCUUAAGAAAGUUUAAUUUGUUUCAUUUAAAGAUGAGUGUUGUCAUAGAGGAGCAGAAUAUCACCCUCACCAGUUUAAUGAAUAAACAGGGGAAAUGUGAAAUCAUUGCUCGCUUCUGCAGGUCCCUCUGGUUCACUUGCAGGAGCUGCAAUGAGCAUGGGGAUUGUCUGUGAGGACACAGUUCCUGAAGUUUAGGGCCCUUACCCACCAGAAAUAUGGUCAGAUGAACCACUGGCAUUACUCUAGGGAGAAAGGUGGCCACAUGCAAAUUUAAUGCAGAAUGGUCUCACCCUGCCAAGGAAAAGAGAAAGAAAACCACAGAGGGUUUUAGGGGCUGCCAGUGCAUAUUAUUCAACUUGCAUUAACUCUCUUAACAACAAGCCAGAGAACUGAAUUUGGAUUCUAGCUGCAAAGCUAAACUGCAACCCAUCUGUUUUCCAUCCCAGACAAUGAAUAGGCCAAAAUUUACACAACAAAAUACUGCCUAGGAUUUGAAGGUUUGGAUAGCAUUUACCUCAAAACCUGGUGCGCCUUCGCUGCAUCAGGGCUAUAUUUUAGGGGAGAUUUUGUGUUCAGGCUUCUCCUGGCUGUAUUUGAACACUGCCUGAGAUGAUUCAGGAGUUCUACUCGACAAAUGGGUGUUGUGAUCCAAGGCCCAUCUGGCUUGUUUUGCAGUGUGUAAAGGUCAGUGUUUCUGUUAAUACAACUCGUACAAAUACUUCCCUGCCAUCUGACGACAUUCCUCCUCAUUCAGAUUGGCAGCCAUUUCCCCCCCACAAUCUGGAAUCUCCUCCCAACGUGGGCUGUUGAAGUGGGGAUGAUCACAGUUUUAAAAUCAAAGGUUGAGUGCUUCUGUUGAGUUAUACUUGGAAGCGACCAUGUUCUGUACAGUGAGAACAUCCCAUAUGGAAAGGACAUAUGUGUUGGAGACAAUAAUACAUAAAUAGUGAAUGCAAUUUUAUAUAACCCUUAUAUGCUUAUGGCUCUUACAUAUAAUUCUCUAAUGAGACAGGUGAAAUAGAUGACUUCAAUACUGAUAUUUAGGUCCAUCUGUUGAAAGCUUACACAAUAAAUAGGGAGUUUUAAAGACAGAUUUAGCUGUACAUAAUUUUUCAAACAAUUGCACUGACAUAACUUGCAAACCCUGUUGGGCUGUCCUUACAAAGGACAGUGUGAGGUGUGAAACCUCACACUAAGAUCUGCCGUGGACAGACACACAUACAAAAAAACAUCCAUAAUUUGUCAAAUAUAAACUAUUUAGACUAUUUUUUCAUGGUUUUGUUCAAAGAACAUAAAGUUUUGGAGAAAUAAAGCAGGUGAAAAAUUUCAGUGAAGAAGUAGAGCUCAGAUGAAGAGAACACUGGCAAUAGUUUUGUUAUGGAAUGUCAGUAUUGCUCAGGGGCUGACCUGUGGGGGCUGGCAGGAUCCUGGAUAACCAUGUCCAUUCAUCACUGCCCUAAGAAAACCCAUCCCAGUGUGGAAGAUGCCUAAGCCUGGAUGAGGAGGAGGGGAAUAAAACUCAUUUUACAGAUAGUCAGUGAAGACCUGUUAGCACUUGGCAGCCAAAUUCUCUCAGGAGUCUGGGCAGACAAUUUUCCCAUCCUGCCCCUGUCCUCCCCAGGCUCAGCAUCAGCCCCCACAAAGGGCCUGAGCACUGAGCUGUCUGCUUAGAGCAGGACAGGGGCAACAUAAUGACAUUUCUGCUUAUUUGGAAGGAGAUUAAAUAGGGGUUUUGCCUAAGAAGUUAUAGUCAUUUUAUGAACUUGCAUUACCCAGUUUUAGAAGUCAGGGAACAGUGAUGAUGCAUUUCAUGCUCACAUUAAGUUAGCUGCAAUAUUUUUUUUUUCUCAUCACCACCAUAU